rnacentral:rRNA from 1 species
AAAUUGAAGAGUUUGAUCAUGGCUCAGAUUGAACGCUGGCGGCAGGCCUAACACAUGCAAGUCGAACGGUAACAGGAAGCGCUUGCUGCUUCGCUGACGAGUGGCGGACGGGUGAGUAAUGUCUGGGAAACUGCCUGAUGGAGGGGGAUAACUACUGGAAACGGUAGCUAAUACCGCAUAACGUCGCAAGACCAAAGAGGGGGACCUUCGGGCCUCUUGCCACCGGAUGUGCCCAGAUGGGAUUAGCUUGUUGGUGGGGUAACGGCUCACC